UUGCUUCUCUCUCUCACUCACACACACUAGAGUCAUUCCUUUCACUUGAGUGGUAGGUCACUCAAUGCAGGGUAGCAGCACUGUGGUAUUCUGUGGAUGAAACAAUUUAAUCCUGCAUGUUUGCCUCCACAGCCCAAGAGGAAUGUGGACACCUAUUGACAUUGUAGUGACAAAACCUCUCACAGUCUGCAUUAGCAGGUGAACUUUGCUUCGGGUCUGCUUGCACAGUAAUGUGGUAUGGGUGAGGUGUAGGCUGUAGAAGCUGAGUUUCUUGUGGAUGUGUGUUUGUUACUAGUCCUCUUGUACAUGUAUGUGAGAAUUAAAUUACUGUUUUUCUGUC